CCUGACCCCACUCAUCUGCCCCUCCUCCCAGCUGUCCUGCCAACGUCUGUUCCUGACAGAUGAAGAAAAGCAUCUGCUGGGACAAGAAGGGGUUACUCUGCCCUCUCACCUGCCCCUCACCAAGGUAACAAUGGUACCCCAAAGGGUGUCCCCAUCACAGAAGCUCCACCCAACCUCUAAAGAGCCUGGAUCCCAGGGAACAGUUGGGGAGUUUGGGAGGUUAAGGGCCCAACACUCAACACCUUGAGCGCCCAGGCAGAGGAGAGAAUACUCAAGAAGAUCAGGAGGAAAAUCCGCAACAAGCAGUCAGCUCAGGACAGCCGGCGGAGGAAGAAAGAAUACAUAGAUGGGCUGGAGAGCAGGUAUGGUUAGGUGGUGUCCGGCCCCCCUUUCUCACCAAAGCAUGUUAAGGG
rnacentral:lncRNA from 1 species